UACGUAGGGGGCUAGCGUUGUCCGGAAUCAUUGGGCGUAAAGCGCGUGUAGGCGGCCCGGUAAGUCCGCUGUGAAAGUCGGGGGCUCAACCCUCGGAUGCCGGUGGAUACUGUCGGGCUCGAGUACGGAAGAGGCGAGUGGAAUUCCUGGUGUAGCGGUGAAAUGCGCAGAUAUCAGGAGGAACACCAAGUGCGAAGGCAGCUCGCUGGGACGUUACUGACGCUGAGACGCGAAAGCGUGGGGAGCAAACAGG
rnacentral:rRNA from 1 species